ACGGGGCCCAUGAGGUACAGCUCUAAGGCCAGAGUUCUGCAGCUAGAAAAGAAAAGGAGAACUUUCAGUACAAGUGUUUGGAAGCAAUGGUGCGGCUGAUGUGGGCUAGGAUCAAGAAGAGUCAACAAACGGCCUUUUCAAGGGACUACCCUAAAGAGAUGUAUUAGCAAGGAAUUAGUAAAGAGUCCUCAUCUUUGUCGGCCUUUAGAGGCAUGUUUAUCUGGGUUUUGUAAUGUUCAAGAACAGGCUGUUGUGAAACAAAAUAUGAAUGUGAACAAUAUCUGCGCCUUGUCUGCGCUGCAGUGGGCCCACAAAUGCCCUCUGUUAUAAAAUCCAGUUACCAGGCAGCUUUACCUGGUCAGUGAAGAGGGUUUUUAUUUUCCAGCUCUCUCCGAAGCUCCUGAGCAAUCGGGUGCAUGGUUUUCAGUUCGGUCUUCCACCCAAGUAACUGCCACAGUGCUUAAGAAGCCCUUUUGACCAAUGAAAUCAGGAGGCCCAUGCUAUCUAUCCCUCCACAACCAACUGAGGCAAUCGCACGAAGCAGCCAUGCCUCUUUCCCCAGCUGAGACAGAAUCCAAGUGCUGCCUGGGAUUUCUCACAUAGGUGCCGGCUGGGGAGUGACAUCUGCUGCUCUGCCAGGCCCCUCAGCCAAAGGAUAAGAAUGAAAUGGGGACAUCAAAAUAGAAAUGAUGCCAUUGCCUCAGAGUUCACAGCAGGGCCAGACCCUGCCUGUGGGGUGUUCAUUCCUUCUAUGUUCAUAGUGACAGCUUGCCUUCAGCUUCCAAAUCGCCUCUACCACCCACAGAAUGUGAGCUUAGCUGGGCUUCUUCCAACUCUCUCAGCUUCAGUUUCCUUGCUUGUAAGUUGGAGCAAUUGGAGCCACCACAGGACUCUUGGGAAUACACUGAUUUCCCUUACACAGAGCAGGUGAGAUAUAUAUCAUCCUUCAUUGAAAGUAUAGAUCAAAGGACUCGAGAGGGGGCUAAUGCCAUCUCUGUGCAGGUUUUCUAGUUUAACUCCAUGACCAAAAGUAACCUGAGGUAGAAAAGGAUUUAUUUGGUUUAGAAGUUAUAGUCUAUUAUUGGGGAGAUGCAGGGAAGAGAACCCAGAGAAUAGAGGCAGGAACCGACCCAGAGUCUAUGGAGGAAUGUGGCUUACUACUAGCCUGUUGGCCCUAGUUGGCUCAGCUACCUUUCUUACACAGCUCAAGGACACUUUCCCUCAAUUACCAGUAAAUAAAAUUCCCCACAAAUCAGUCUGACAGAGGAAAUUCCUCAACUGAACAUCCCCCUUCCCAAGUGUGUCAAGUUGACAGCCAAGACUAGCCAUCCAUCACAGAUGUAUGAUGACUCGAUUGAAGAUUCCCAGAAUCCACGUAAUAAGCCAGGCAUGGCAAACGAUACCUGUAACCCUAGCAACAGGGGCUGACACUGACGGAUGGAGAAUGGAGAAGGGACCCUUUGUUGGCCAUCGAGUCUAGCAAAUUAGCAACUCCGGUUUCAGAGACCAUGUUUCAAAAAAAAUAAAUAAAUAAAUAAAUAAAGGAACAUCUAGGUAAGACAUCCUAACAUCAACCUAACCUCUGGCAUUCGUAAAUAUUCAUGCAUAUGCACACCCAAGUGUGUGUGUACACACAUACAGAGAGAGACAGAGAGACAGAGAGAGACAAUAUAUAACAAUUUUUUUAAAAGGUCUACAUAAGACUGAGCACAGUGCUGCACACCUAUAAUCCCAGCACUUGGUGGAGGAGUACAGUUUAAAGCCAAUCUCAGUUUUGGAGACCAGCAUAAGACCCAAACUCAAAAAUAUUCUUUUAAUUAAAAAAAUUUCAGGACAAUUAAAAUAUUGCCUAGCAUUUUAUCUAGUUGGGCUUAUGUCUACAUUCUCUCACUUCUUUGAGUACAAAUUUUUUUUUUCUUUGUAUAAGAAAGUACCACCAAACUAGGAUUCUUCCCAUUUGGAAGUAACUGAUAAAUAUUCCUUAUACCUUAAAGGCUAAAGUGCUAAUAGAACUUAUUUUCCUAGGACAUUUACUAUGCACCAAGCACUAUAGUAAACAGAUAUAAGUCAUUAAAUCUCACAGCCACCUGUGAGGUAAUUAACAAGUAGAUCAAUUAGCAUUGAUAAGGGUCAACUCAUCCCCACCGAAUGCCUACAAAGUUAACAGCUUAAGUUUUGAUCUGAAUUCAAAUUUCUAAUCAUCAAACAGAACUGUGUCUGCAGAAAUAUUUUACAAAAGUUAAGUCCUGAAAACUCUGACUUAGCAUAUUUUUUAUUUCCAUUUCAAGCCACAGUGUCACCUUUAAAGACAUCCCAUUAUACAGACACUUACCUGAGCAUUUGACAUAUCUGAAAAGCUCAAGGGUUCCCUAACUCACACAACCUUGAAGUGGAGCCAUGCCUUUUACUAAUCCUUGUGAACUUUCUUCCAAAGGGGGGUGGGGAACAUUGCACAAACUAAGUGGGUUUCCAUGGUUUCUGUCCCUGAAUCACAAUCCUAGCCUAAGAACAUAUUACUGAGAAAGUAUUUUCCUGGUUCCCUGAUUAAUAACUGAAGAGGCAAUGCUCCCAGGAGAAGGCUACUUACCAUGUCCUCUAACAUACUCUGCUCAGAGUUUCAGUUUGCCUCUUAAAGGAUCCCUGAUCAUUGUGUGACCUGUGAAUGUAUUGCGUCAUGAUUGUUGACAUGGAUUCUCUGACCUCUUAGUUCAGAAAGCCAUGUGCACAGACAUACAACCUGGUAUAGACACCCUACUCUAACACUUCAACUGCUGUCCUGCACCCCACACUUAAGAGGAAAUCCAGGGCUACACACACACACACACACAAACAAGAGUCUGCAAAGGAGUUGUUUUCCCAGCAAGUUUUCAUUACCUUUCUGGUUCCUUUCCUGCACCUGCCCUCUAGUUCUCCAUGACAGAAUUGCCUUCAAUCAAGCACCUCUCCAGACACUCUUUACUUCUUGAAUCGUGUCCAAAGACCUCUGACUUUAAUUGGCGCAUGCAGAGUGCCUGACAGAAAUGUCAGAAGUAUAAAAUGUAAAAGGUUAACUGCCAAGGAGAAUGAGGCAAACACCCCACAUUCCCUUCGAGAAGGAUAAGCUAAGCUACUUAUGAUUAAAUGUUCUCAAAGCUUUUUUUCUCACAUUCCCAAGGACUCUUCUGACCUUUUGCCUUCUGUUAAUAAGCUUUCGUUGGUGCCCAAAUAGUUAGAAGUUGUUCUCUUCGUAGGUGGGAGUUUCGGCAAAGGUACAUGUGAAGUCUUGUAUUUCUGUGCGACUCUACAUCAUAAGAAAAGCCAAGACGUGGGCUGUGACAACAGCUGAAGCCACGUCCCACAGAACUCAAAAAAGCCCUUCACACAGGGAGAAUAUGAGACAGUGCAUUCUGCUCACUAUCGUAUAACAGGAUACUGCUUGGUUAGCUCAGAAGAGGGGAGGCAAGAUUCAAUGACAAAAGGAAACCCAAACUAUUGGUGUCAAAAUAUAAAGUUCACUCUUUCUCUGUUGCUUAAUGAUCUUAUGUACCUAACACAGGAUACGUGCACCUUCAUGGAACUAGUGCCUCGUUGAAUAAGCAAGAGAUUUGGGUGGAAAUAGCCCAUUCUGAAUGUUUCUGCCUUCCUAUUUUGACCCAAAUAGGUGUAUCUAAUACCAUAUAGCAGGGACAUAGCAAGCUGUUCUCUGUGACAACCUAAGAGGGAAGAGAGAGAAAAAGAGGGGGAGAAACCCACCACUUGUCUCUUUAAUUAAAGUUCUGUUGCCUAGGAACACUUAAGAAGUUAUUCUGAGGCAAUUCCGUGAGUCAAGAUCAUUCUAAACAUGUUUUUUCACUCUCCGCGUUUACUAAUUGCUUUACCAGGUUUGUAAUAGUUCAUCUGCUGUUGUUUUUAAUGUCCCAGAUAGAGUGAUUAAUUUUAAUUCAGGAUCCUUAGUUCUAACUUAACCAAAUAAACUCAGUAAAACCCAAACCUC
rnacentral:lncRNA from 1 species